rnacentral:rRNA from 1 species
AUGUUCUCGUCGCAGUCCAGAGCACGCAUCAACAACAUCCGCGCCACACUCUCCACGGCGCAGAAGGGCACGCAAACGGUGGCGGCGUACUUCGCUCACAUGCGAUCUCUCGCAGAUGAGCUUGCAGCCGCGGUAAAACCGAUCGACGACGAUGAACUGGCUUCCUACAUCACCGCCGGCCUCGACAUGGAGUACCAGCCUCUCAUCUCCGCCAACGACGCCCGCACCACGCCCAUCAGCCUCGACGAUCUUUUUGCUCAGAUGAGCAGUUUUGACCAGCGCCUUGCCCUCUACAACGGGGCAGGUUGUGGUGGAGGCUUCAAGUCUUCUGCCAAUGCGGCUGUCUGUGGCCGUGGAGGUGGCGGCUCUCGCUACCAUGGGCGCAACAAGGGCAAGCCAUCGGGCGGAGGCAACAGCAGCAGCGGCAACUCCUUCAACAACGGCGGCGGAGGCAAGCCUCGCGCGGGCCCCGACGUCACGCGCUGCCAGAUUUGUGGCAAGCCAGGCCACACGGCAAAGGAUUGCUGGUACCGUUUUGAGGAAGAUGAGGAAUCUUCCCAAGAUGAGAAGGUUGCAGCAGCGGCAGAUGGCUCCUACGGAGUCGAUACCAAUUGGUAUGUGGACAGCGGCGCGACAAACCACAUUACAGGCGAGCUGGAAAAGGUGACUGUGCGUGAGAAGUACCGUGGACAGGACCAAGUUCACGCUGCAAAUGGAGAAGGUAUGAGAAUUAGUCAUAUUGGUAAUUCAGUAUUUAAAACUCCCCACAGAAAAAUCCAUCUCAGAAAAAUUUUGCAUAUCCCUAGUGCCUCGAAAAAUCUCCUUUCCGUCCAUCGCAUUGCCCUUGACAACAAUGUCUUUCUUGAAUUUCACCCGUUUUUCUUUUUGAUCAAGGAUCAGGUCACGAAGAAAAUCCUAUAUCGAGGUAGAUGCGUUCGAGGACUUUAUCCGUUGAUUCCGGAGCUUAGGAGACUGAAUAAACAAGCCUUACCCUGUGUCUACGAGUGUUUCUACCAAACCUCUCCAACUCAUUUUUUCUGA